AUCUGGCUGAUGAGUCCCAAAUAGAAUGGAACGCACGUUCUGGAU
rfam:Schistosoma rodhaini strain Burundi genome assembly, scaffold: SROB_scaffold0016634